rnacentral:rRNA from 1 species
GUGGGGAAUCUUGCGCAAUGGGCGAAAGCCUGACGCAGCCAUGCCGCGUGAAUGAUGAAGGUCUUAGGAUUGUAAAAUUCUUUCACCGGGGACGAUAAUGACGGUACCCGGAGAAGAAGCCCCGGCUAACUUCGUGCCAGCAGCCGCGGUAAUACGAAGGGGGCUAGCGUUGCUCGGAAUUACUGGGCGUAAAGGGCGCGUAGGCGGACAGUUUAGUCAGAGGUGAAAGCCCAGGGCUCAACCUUGGAAUUGCCUUUGAUACUGGCUGUCUUGAGUACGGGAGAGGUGAGUGGAACUCCGAGUGUAGAGGUGAAAUUCGUAGAUAUUCGGAAGAACACCAGUGGCGAAGGCGACUCACUGGCCCGUUACUGACGCUGAGGCGCGAAAGCGUAGGGAGCAAACAGGAUUAGAAACCCCAGUAGUCC